rnacentral:rRNA from 1 species
UACGAAGGGGCUAGCGUUGUUCGGAAUCACUGGGCGUAAAGGCGCGUAGGCGGCCGAUCAAGUCGGGGGUGAAAGCCUGUGGCUCAACCACAGAAUUGCCUUCGAUACUGUUUGGCUUGAGACCGGAAGAGGUAAGUGGAACUGCGAGUGUAGAGGUGAAAUUCGUAGAUAUUCGCAAGAACACCAGUGGCGAAGGCGGCUUACUGGUCCGGUUCUGACGCUGAGGCGCGAAAGCGUGGGGAGCAAACAGG